CGGGUGGUGUUCAGAUCCUGCUGCCGGCAGCUCGAGGCUAGGAUGGCUGGAGAUGUGAGGGCCUUUGUCUCAUCACAUCCGAGCAGAGCUCAGCAAGAUGCUCUUAGCUAGGAAACAGAUUUUAUGUGUUAAUGAACAAGCACAUCAUGAUUGACUUGGGGACUGGCAACAACAACAAGAUUAACUGGGCCAUGGAGGACAAGCAGGAGAUGGUGGACAUCAUCGAGACGGUGUACCGCGGGGCCCGCAAAGGCCGCGGCCUGGUGGUGUCCCCCAAGGACUACUCCACCAAGUACCGCUACUGAGGCGCCCUCAGUCCGCGCGGAUAAAUGUCGUGGAGCCCUUUUUGUGUGGAAACGUUUUAAGCUAUUUAAAGCCUUUGGAAAAUACAGGAAGCUCCAGGGCUGGAGGACCUCUGAGAUGGAAUUGAUUACAUGGUCUUAACUCA
rnacentral:sRNA from 1 species